CUUUAACCUCACCAGGAAGAAGGGGCUGGUAUCAGGCACCCCUUCAAGCCCAUUACACCUAGCCUCGCCACACCCUCAAGGGAAUUCAGCAGUGACCAACAUUAAUUAUAAACGUCAGUUUGAUCUAGUUAAAGUAUACAGAGCCGGCAAAUCUGGUGCCAGCCGCCGCGGUUACACCACGUGACUCAAAUUGAUUUUAAUCGGCGUAAAGCGUGAUUAAAUCAUCAAAAAUAUUAGAAUCAAACUUGAACUAAGCUGUAGCACGCUUGUCCCUAAGAAGCCCCAACACGAAAGUUAUUCUAAUUAACCCCACUUGAACUCACGACAACUGGGGUACAAACUAGGAUUAGAUACCCUACUAUGCCCAGUCGUAAACUUUAACUUACACCUAUAACGCCUGGGUACUACGAGCCAAGCUUAAAACCCAAAGGACUUGACGGUACCCCACAUCCACCUAGAGGAGCCUGUCCUAUAAUCGAUAACCCCCGCUAAACCUCACCACUUUUAGCUUUUCAGCCUGUAUACUUCCGUCGUCAGCUCACCCCAUCAGGGCCCCCAGUGAGCCCAACGUCCUUACAUCAACACGUCAGGUCCAAGUGCAGCAAAUAAAGUGGGAAGAGAUGGGCUACACUCUCUAAAUUAGAAAAAACAAAUUCCCUGCAUGAAACCCAGAGAAAAGGCGGAUUUAGUAGUAAAAAGGAAGCAUGAUAUCCUUUUUAAUAAGGCUCUGGGGUGUGUACACACCGCCCGUCACCCUCUUC
rnacentral:rRNA from 1 species